rnacentral:rRNA from 1 species
UACGAAGGGGGCUAGCGUUGUUCGGAUUUACUGGGCGUAAAGCGCACGUAGGCGGCUCUUUAAGUCAGAGGUGAAAUCCCAAGGCUCAACCUUGGAACUGCCUUUGAUACUGGGGAUCUCGAGUUCGGGAGAGGUGAGUGGAACUGCGAGUGUAGAGGUGAAAUUCGUAGAUAUUCGCAAGAACACCAGUGGCGAAGGCGGCUCACUGGCCCGAUACUGACGCUGAGGUGCGAAAGCGUGGGGAGCAAACAGG